CCUCUCUCAGCUCCGCUUGAUCACACAGGCCUAGUGUGUGCUUGGCAUCUUUUCAGAGAGAGAGAAGGCCGUCCUAAUGCACGGCAGGCCUGCCCAAAGUGGCCUCUCUGUCCCUAGGAGUGCAACUGCA